rnacentral:rRNA from 1 species
GUAGGGAAUAUUGGGCAAUGGAGGCAACUCUGACCCAGCCAUGCCGCGUGCAGGAUGACGGCCCUCUGGGUUGUAAACUGCUUUUAUACGGGAAGAAAAAAUACUACGUGUAGUAUACUGACGGUACCGUAAGAAUAAGGAUCGGCUAACUCCGUGCCAGCAGCCGCGGUAAUACGGAGGAUCCAAGCGUUGUCCGGAUUUAUUGGGUUUAAAGGGUGCGUAGGCGGAUCUUUAAGUCAGUGAUGAAAGCCUGCAGCUUAACUGUAGAAUUGCCAUUGAAACUGAAGAUCUUGAAUGUGGUUAAAGUAGGCGGAAUGUAUCAUGUAGCGGUGAAAUGCUUAGAUAUGAUACAGAACACCGAUAGCGAAGGCAGCUUGCUGAACCAUUAUUGACGCUGAGGCACGAAAGCGUGGGGAGCGAACAGGAUUAGAAACCCUAGUAGUCC